rnacentral:pre_miRNA from 1 species
CGUUAAAAAUUUCAUCCAUUUUUACUGUUAAAAACUGAACUAGCUAACGAAAUAACUAGAGACCAAUUUUUAACAGUCAAAAUGGAUAGAAUUUUUAUCA